rnacentral:snoRNA from 2 species
AUUAGAAUCAAAGAUGCAGCUGCUUUCACAUAGCAACAGGAGUCAAAAAAGAGCCGAAAGUGACAGUUUUCCUGUUCGACCACUGUUCCGUUCUGUAACUGAUUUAUGACAUUUUGGGAAAACACAGCU